CAACUUUUGACAACGGAUCUCUUGGUUCUCCCAUCGAUGAAGAACGCAGCGAAAUGCGAUAAGUAAUGUGAAUUGCAGAAUUCAGUGAAUCAUCGAAUCUUUGAACGCACCUUGCGCUCGUUGGUAUUCCGACGAGCAUGCCUGUUUGAGUGUCAUGA
rnacentral:rRNA from 1 species